ACGCAUUUGUGUUGUUGUGCAACA
rnacentral:siRNA from 1 species